rnacentral:rRNA from 1 species
UACGAAGGGGGCUAGCGUUGUUCGGAAUCACUGGGCGUAAAGCGCACGCAGGCGGAUUGAUAAGUCAGGGGUGAAAUCCCGGAGCUCAACUUCGGAAUUGCCUUUGAUACUGUCUGUCUUGAGUCCGGGAGAGGUGAGUGGAAUUCCUAGUGUAGAGGUGAAAUUCGUAGAUAUUAGGAAGAACACCAGUGGCGAAGGCGGCUCACUGGCCCGGUACUGACGCUCAGGUGCGAAAGCGUGGGGAGCAAACAGG